rnacentral:rRNA from 1 species
AGAGUUUGAUCCUGGCUCAGGAUGAACGCUGGCGGCGUGCCUAACACAUGCAAGUCGAGCGGUAUAUACAUUAUCAAAUCUUCGGAAGAGAGACGGUAUAGAGAGCGGCGGACGGGUGAGUAACGCGUAGGCAACCUGCCCCAUACAGAGGGAUAGCCUCGGGAAACCGGGAUUAAAACCUCAUAACGCGAGAAGUUCACAUGGACUUUUCGCCAAAGAUUUAUCGGUAUGGGAUGGGCCUGCGUCUGAUUAGCUAGUUGGUGGGGUAACGGCCUACCAAGGCAACGAUCAGUAGCCGACCUGAGAGGGUAAUCGGCCACAUUGGAACUGAGACACGGUCCAAACUCCUACGGGAGGCAGCAGUGGGGAAUAUUGCACAAUGGGCGAAAGCCUGAUGCAGCAACGCCGCGUGAGCGAUGAAGGCCUUUGGGUCGUAAAGCUCUGUCCUUGGGGAAGAAUAAAUGACGGUACCCUUGGAGGAAGCCCCGGCUAACUACGUGCCAGCAGCCGCGGUAAUA